GUCUGCGGUGGCCUUAGUGGUAAAAGCAUCCGCUUAGAAUGUGGGAGGUCGCGGGUUCGAUCCCUGGCCGAGUCA